GGCGCAUGGGACUCGGCCUGCGCGCGGCAGCUGCUCCGCAGCCAUGUGAUGGCGCUGGGCGCAGCAGCGGUUCACUGCAAGGUAAUGACAUGAGAAUCAGAGGACAGGGAUUGGAUAUGUGCAGAAGUGACACUUUGUU
rnacentral:lncRNA from 1 species